UGCAGUCGAGCGGAUGAAGGGAGCUUGCUCCUGGAUUCAGCGGCGGACGGGUGAGUAAUGCCUAGGAAUCUGCCUGGUAGUGGGGGAUAACGUCCGGAAACGGGCGCUAAUACCGCAUACGUCCUGAGGGAGAAAGUGGGGGAUCUUCGGACCUCACGCUAUCAGAUGAGCCUAGGUCGGAUUAGCUAGUUGGUGGGGUAAAGGCCUACCAAGGCGACGAUCCGUAACUGGUCUGAGAGGAUGAUCAGUCACACUGGAACUGAGACACGGUCCAGACUCCUACGGGAGGCAGCAGUGGGGAAUAUUGGACAAUGGGCGAAAGCCUGAUCCAGCCAUGCCGCGUGUGUGAAGAAGGUCUUCGGAUUGUAAAGCACUUUAAGUUUUAGAGGAAGGGCAGUAAGUUAAUACCUUGCUGUUUUGACGUUACCAACAGAAUAAGCACCGGCUAACUUCGUGCCAGCAGCCGCGGUAAUACGAAGGGUGCAAGCGUUAAUCGGAUUACUGGGCGUAAAGCGCGCGUAGGUGGUUCAGCAAGUUGGAUGUGAAAUCCCCGGGCUCAACCUGGGAACUGCAUCCAAAACUACUGAGCUAGAGUACGGUAGAGGGUGGUGGAAUUUCCUGUGUAGC
rnacentral:rRNA from 1 species